rnacentral:rRNA from 1 species
CAGUCGCCGCGGGAAUACGAAGGGUGCAGGCGUUACUCGGAAUUACUGGGCGUAAAGCGUGCGUAGGUGGUGGUUUAAGUCCGUUGUGAAAGCCCUGGGCUCAACCUGGGAAUUGCAGUGGAUACUGGGUCACUAGAGUGUGGUAGAGGAUAGUGGAAUUUCCGGUGUAGCAGUGAAAUGCGUAGAGAUCGGAAGGAACAUCUGUGGCGAAGGCGACUAUCUGGGCCAACACUGACACUGAGGCACGAAAGCGUGGGGAGCAAACAGGAUUAGAUACCCCAGUAGUCCCUGUCUCUUAUAC